UUUACCUCUUUCUUCUUCCUAAAAUCUCACAAAUUAUACUACUUGCAUCAUACCAACAAUGGAUAAUGACGCAAAUAGUUAUAUUGGGUGUUGAUGUGUGUGUUUGAAAACUAGUUUGAUUAAGGUAAUCUUCAUUCACAGCUUUUGUACCAAAUUGCAAGAUGGAGAUGAAGAUCUGAAAAAGAGCAAAACCCUAAAUCAAUAAGCCCUAAAUCGCUUGAUGCCCAUGUCGUCUCCGUUGACCCUAAAUUUAUACAUGGAGAGUUACCCUAAAUUUAUACAAGUGUUUCAAAGCCCGGGCUAUUCAGUGAUCUAAUCUGGUUAAGAUUUUACCAUGGAGGUGUUAGAAAUGGAUAUGCAAUGAAACCUGUGGUAAACAUUAUCCUGGAAUGGUUUUUCUAAUUCAUAAUAUUUUUCAUUUUUUUAUGUUUGGCACUUCAUUUUAAAGUUACUUUGUAUACUCGCAGUUGAUAUAUAAGUUAUAUAUAAGUGAAUAAAAAUAAAACAAAAAAUGUUGUUGGGACAUCCCACUUGAAUGUUUUAGAGUGUGGCGGGCCCCUUCAUACUAAUGGGCUUGGGUUUGCAGGAAUGAGGCUUUUUUUAGGUUUAGUUAAGUCUCAUGGUUUAAUCCAUCCGUCACUGAAAAUGAGUUCAAGUUGAUGUUAAGGGUUGCUAAGUUGAGCAGGCCAUGAAAAAAAGGCUCCAUGAAAUCUACAAAACCAGAACAGCUAUUCUAAUAUGGGUUAUGUUUUAUUAUUGUUGUUAUUAUUAACUAUAACUUAUUGUGUUUAAUGAUGAAAAGUAAUGCACUUGUGUUUAAUGAUGUUUAUGGUUUCCAAAUCAAGUUAAGAUUUUACCUAGGAGGUGUUGGAAAUGGAGAUGGAAUGAAACCUGUGGUAAACAUGAUCCUGGGAAGGAUAUGAGGCUUGUUUUGGGUUUAGCUAAAUUUUUUUCUCAACCAACACCAAUUGUAGCUGCUGUAAAUGGGCUUUACAAGGUGGCUAAGUCUCAUUGUUUAAGCCAUCUGUCAUGAAGAUGAGUUCAAGUUGAUGUUAAGGGUAGCUAAGUUGAGCAAUACUAUUGAUGAGGAAGAACAGGUAUUGAGAGGUGUUGAAAACUGUUGAUGUUGCGAUAUUAAACAAUAUAACCCCUCACACGACUGGAAUAAUGGACAGACUAUGUAUUGCAUUUGAGAUCAAAUAACAUGUCAUAACAGUAGUUGUGUGACGAAUUCCUCUGCCUUAUCCUUGAACUCUGAUUGAACAGAAUGUAGAACUUCAUCGACCAAUGCAUUACUACUGCAGAUAACUAUGGCAUCAACCUCUUUACAAUCUGAUGAUUUGAAGCAAGGAUUUCUUAAACAAAUCGAGGAGUAAGUUUAGGCAGUCAAGGCAACUCUUCAAAAGUUGAAGAGGUGUUUUGAUGUAUUACAACUUGGAUUGCUAAUAAGAGACCAGGUUUCGAGAAAUUUGAUAGCAAUGCCAACCACUUUAGUUUGUGACUUGUGUGUCGCGAGUAACAUUGAAUUUGGUAAUAGAGACUUGCAGUUUAUGACAAAGCUCAAGGAUAUACACCGAGAAGUUCAGUACUUGAUGGAGUUAAAGUUAAAAUUUCCUAAUUCUUUUCAUUAGAUUUUAAAUGUUUUAUUAGUUUUCAAUUUCCUCUCUAAUUGUUAGUGUUUUAACUGUUUAAAUUUUAAAGACAAUACAUCUUUCUUUUAACAGUUUAGUUUUACUUAUUAUUAUGACUUUAAACAUUUAUUGUUUCAAAUUACUGUUUUAACAAUUUAAAUUUUAAAGAUGAGACAUCUACAAUAACUCGCAUGAUCAAAAAUUUUGAAAGAGUAUCUCAUCAGUCAAAGUUUGACUAUGGCCUCAACCAACUCAUGUGGUAGCACCUAAACACGCUGGAUGCAAGGUGGUUGGUUAGGUAUGCCAUACUAUUUUUAUAACCAAGUUUUGUUAUUGUUUCACGUUUUGUUAAUGAUUGUUUUGUAUUUGUAGCACUUUUAAAAAGACAAGGGAUUGAUGUUAACGGUAUUUUUAAAGCUGCUCUAAAAAAGGAAGUUGAGGAAGAGCCUCAAUCGUAUAUUGAUUGCAUUAUAACUUUGCAUGUUUUGUACAAGUUUUUUUUUUUAAUUUAUCUUUUACUUAUUAGAGGGGUAGUUUUGUAAUUUACUAACGUAUAACAAAUAUGGUUGUUAAGGUCUGGCGUGUGAAUGGAAGUUAUUCUAAUUUGUAAUAUUUGUUAAACAAUCAACGUGCUCUACAAAUGGUAUGUUUUCAUUUUUGUAAUCGUCAAUAACAUUUUUAUUUUUUUUCAAGUAAAAUGCACGGAUAGUCCCUAUGGUUUUGCAAAAUAACACCUAU